rnacentral:misc_RNA from 1 species
GCUUAUUUGUCCCUAAGGACUUGUUAAUUUUAUUUUUAAAAAUUUGAAAAACUUAUUUGACAUUUUUUAAAAAUUUAAGGGCUUAAAUGGGCUCCCAAAACACUUUAAGAACUUAAACGACUAUUUGGCAUAAUUUUAAGGGCCUAAAUAGGCCUUUUGCCUCCUUUUUUUCAGACACCUUUUGUUCACUAGUAUUGACACAA